GACGAACGCUGGCGGCGUGCCUAAUACAUGCAAGUAGAACGCUGAAGGAGGAGCUUGCUUCUCUGGAUGAGUUGCGAACGGGUGAGUAACGCGUAGGUAACCUGCCUGGUAGCGGGGGAUAACUAUUGGAAACGAUAGCUAAUACCGCAUAGGAGUAGAUGUUGCAUGACAUUUGCUUAAAAGGUGCAAUUGCAUCACUACCAGAUGGACCUGCGUUGUAUUAGCUAGUUGGUGGGGUAACGGCUCACCAAGGCGACGAUACAUAGCCGACCUGAGAGGGUGAUCGGCCACACUGGGACUGAGACACGGCCCAGACUCCUACGGGAGGCAGCAGUAGGGAAUCUUCGGCAAUGGACGGAAGUCUGACCGAGAAACGCCGCGUGAGUGAAGAAGGUUUUCGGAUCGUAAAGCUCUGUUGUAAGAGAAGAACGAGUGUGAGAGUGGAAAGUUCACACUGUGACGGUAUCUUACCAGAAAGGGACGGCUAACUACGUG
rnacentral:rRNA from 1 species